AUGCUCACUUCAGCAGCACAUAUACUAAAAUUGCAACAAUAUAGAGAAGAUUAUAAGCAUGGCCCCUGUGCAAGGAUGACAUGCAAAUUUGUGAAGCAUCCCAUAUUUUU
rnacentral:snRNA from 1 species